rnacentral:rRNA from 1 species
CCUACGGGCGGCAGCAGUGAGGAAUAUUGGUCAAUGGCCGGAAGGCUGAACCAGCCAUGCCGCGUGAAGGUCAGUGCCCUAUGGGCGUUAAACUUCUUUUGUGCGGGAGCAAUAAUGGUCACGUGUGGCCAGACGAGAGUACCGUACGAAUAAGCAUCGGCUAACUCCGUGCCAGCAGCCGCGGUAAUACGGGGGAUGCAAGCGUUAUCCGGAUUUAUUGGGUUUAAAGGGUGCGUAGGCGGAAUAUCAAGUCAGCGGGAAAAAUUCGGGGCUCAACCCCGUCGUGCCGUUGAAACUGAUGUUCUUGAGUGGGCGAGAAGUAUGCGGAAUGCGUGGUGUAGCGGUGAAAUGCAUAGAUAUCACGCAGAACUCCGAUUGCGAAGGCAGCAUACCGGCGCCCAACUGACGCUGAAGCACGAAAGCGUGGGUAUCGAACAGGAUUAGAUACCCUGGUAGUC